CCUACGGGAGGCAGCAGUGGGGAAUAUUGGACAAUGGGCGCAAGCCUGAUCCAGCAAUGCCGCGUGAGUGAUGAAGGCCUUCGGGUUGUAAAGCUCUUUCGCACGCGACGAUGAUGACGGUAGCGUGAGAAGAAGCCCCGGCUAACUUCGUGCCAGCAGCCGCGGUAAUACGAAGGGGGCUAGCGUUGUUCGGAAUUACUGGGCGUAAAGGGCGCGUAGGCGGUACUUCAAGUCAGGCGUGAAAGCCCCGGGCUCAACCUGGGAACCGCGCUUGAGACUGGAGAACUAGAGUUCGGGAGAAGAUGGUGGAAUUCCCAGUGUAGAGGUGAAAUUCGUAGAUAUUGGGAAGAACACCGAUGGCGAAGGCAGCCAUCUGGACCGACACUGACGCUGAGGCGCGAAAGCGUGGGGAGCAAACAGGAUUAGAUACCCUGGUAGUCCACGCCGUAAACGAUGAGUGCUACACGUUGGGGCCCUUAAGGCUUCGGUGUCGCAGCUAACGCAUUAAGC
rnacentral:rRNA from 1 species